UACGAAGGGGGCUAGCGUUGCUCGGAAUCACUGGGCGUAAAGCGCACGUAGGCGGAUUGCUAAGUCAGGGGUGAAGUCCUGGAGCUCAACUCCAGAACUGCCUUUGAUACUGGCGAUCUUGAGUCCGGGGGAGGUGAGUGGAACUGCGAGUGUAGAGGUGAAAUUCGUAGAUAUUCGCAAGAACACCAGUGGCGAAGGCGGCUCACUGGCCCGGUACUGACGCUGAGGUGCGAAAGCGUGGGGAGCAAACAGG
rnacentral:rRNA from 1 species